rnacentral:rRNA from 1 species
AGAGUUUGAUCAUGGCUCAGGAUGAACGUUGGCGGUGUGCCUAAUACAUGCAAGUCGAACGGAGUUAAUAGCAAUAUUGACUUAGUGGCGAACGGGUGAGUAACGCGUUGGUGAUCUGCCUCGAAGUGUGGAAUAACGUUCCGAAAGGAUCGCUAAUACCGCAUGUGCUCUCGAUUUUUAGAAACUUGAGAGUAAAGGAUUUAUUCGCUUCGAGAGGAGCCUGCGUCCCAUCAGCUGGUUGGUAGGGUAACGGCCUACCAAGGCUAUGACGGGUAGGGGACCUGAGAGGGUGGCCCCCCACAAUGGAACUGAAACACGGUCCAUACACCUACGGGUGGCAGCAGUAGGGAAUAUUAGAAAUGGACGAAAGUCUGAUCUAGCAACACCGCGUGUGCGAAGAAGGCCUUCGGGUCGUAAAGCACUUUUUGGAAGGAAUAGGAAGGAAUGUACUUCCAGAAUAAGUCUCGGCUGACUACGUGCCAGCAGCCGCGGUAACACGUAGGAGGCAAACGUUAUCCGGAUUUACUGGGCGUAAAGCGCGUGUAGGUGGUACUGUAAGUAGGGCGUGAAAGCUCCGGCUCAACUGGGAGAGGCCGUUCUAAACUGCAGAACUAGAGGAUGGUAGAGGGAGGUGGAAUUCCAGGUGUAGCGGUGGAAUGCGCAGAUAUCUGGAGGAACACCAGUGGCGAAGGCGGCCUCCUGGACCAUUCCUGACACUCAGACGCGAAAGCUAGGGUAGCAAACGGGAUUAGAGACCCCGGUAGUCCUAGCCCUAAACGAUGUAGACUAGGCGUCGGUGGUUUAAUCACCAUCGGUGUCCAAGCUAACGCGAUAAGUCUACCGCCUGGGGACUACGGCCGCGAGGUUAAAACUCAAAUGAAUUGACGG